rnacentral:piRNA from 1 species
AAAACAGAACCCAACUAGCAGCAGGGCG